GGUCUGUUGGUAUUCCCCUUCAGUAUGUUUAAGCUUACAGGAAAUAAACAGAAACGUUUUGUGUCUCUAUGCACAAAGAAGUGGACAGAACACUGAGUCACCGGUUUGUCAUCUGUGAAUGUGGUCCAGGAGGAUUUGAGCCAUGAACGUUCCAAAGUGUCCCAUUUGUCAGCAGUCUGAUAUUGGCAUUCCGGAUGGUCAGCGCGCAGUCUGCAGGUCUUGCUCUAAAUCGAAGCGGUGCGUGUUUCAGUUUUGCUUGGCAUGUCAGAGAGAAUGGCCACGCGACUCUUCGACCACCGAAUCCUGCAUGCUGCCGAACUGUGCGCUCCGUUCUGCUCUCCUCAGCGACACAAAAAUCAGUGACCCACAAAGCUCGGUGAGAGGAUGUCCAUACUUCAGGGCCUGUCCAGGUUGCAAGGCCCUGCUUACACACAAAGGAACAGGCUGUCCCAACAUCGUCUGCCCUCAUUGUGGUAGACACAUCUGCUUCCGCUGCCUGCGUGAAAGGUGCUUCGGGGAAAUAAAUAUUGGAGCCUUUGCGCUUCUUACCCAUAGACUGUCCUUCUUUCAAGAUGAUGUAAGUCCAUGUAGAGUGGUGGACAACAAGCAGAGUCUCACAGUUUUGGGACUGUAACGAGAAAGUUUUGAACACAAAAAAGGCGAAUGACAACGCUGAAAUCUUACGUAAUGAAAAACACCCAGUUAAGGCCUAUCCUAUGUGAUUUAUUAAGGAAUACUGUAAACAUGUUAUUGUAAAAUGUGCUAUUCUUGUACAUGUUUAGAAA